AUUGAACGCUGGCGGCAGGCCUAACACAUGCAAGUCGAACGGUAGCACAGAGAGCUUGCUCUCGGGUGACGAGUGGCGGACGGGUGAGUAACGUCUGGGAAACUGCCCGAUGAAGGGGGGUAACUACUGGAAACGGUAGCUAAUACCGCAUAACGUCGCAAGACCAAAGUGGGGGACCUUCGGGCCUCACACCAUCGGAUGUGCCCAGAUGGGAUUAGCUAGUAGGUGGGGUAAUGGCUCACCUAGGCGACGAUCCCGAGCUGGGUCUGAGAGGAUAACCAGCCACACUGGAACUGAGACACGGUCCAGACUCCUACGGGAGGCAGCAGUGGGGAAUAUUGCACAAUGGGCGCAAGCCUGAUGCAGCCAUGCCGCGUGUAUGAAGAAGGCCUUCGGGUUGUAAAGUACUUUCAGCGGGGAGGAAGGCGGUGAAGUUAAUAACUUCACCGAUUGACGUUACUCGCAGAAUAAGCACCGGCUAACUCUGUGCCAGCCGCCGCCGUAA
rnacentral:rRNA from 1 species